GCCUGACGCAGCAACGCCGCGUGCGGGAAGAAGGCUUUCGGGCUGUAAACCGCUUUCAGCAGGAACGAAAAUGACGGUACCUGCAGAAGAAGGAGCGGCCAACUAUGUGCCAGCAGCCGCGGUGAUACAUAGGCUUCAAGCGUUGUCCGGAUUUAUUGGGCGUAAAGAGUUCGUAGGCGGUCGAGUAAGUCGGGUGUGAAAAUUCUGGGCUCAACCCAGAAACGCCACCCGAUACUGCUUAACUUGAGUUCGAUAGGGGAGUGGGGAAUUCCUAGUGUAGCGGUGAAAUGCGCAGAUAUUAGGAGGAACACCGGUGGCGAAGGUGCCACUCUGGAUCGAUACUGACGCUGAGGAACGAAAGCAUGGGUAGCAAACAGGAUUAGAUACCCUGGUAGUCCAUGCCGUAAACGGUGGGCACUAGGUGUGGGAUUCUAUUAACGAAUUCCGCGCCGUCG
rnacentral:rRNA from 1 species